GCCGGAAGACAAAAGAUUUUUUAUGUUGCUUGGCUCCCAAAAGAGUUCUUCAAUUCAAAUACGUACAAGGUGUAUUCGAAAAGAAAUCAAACUUUUGCUCUAACACCUUUAUU
rnacentral:lncRNA from 1 species